CUGCAGAUCUGACUGGCAUCCAUGUUCACUUGCUUCAGGACGUAAAUAACUUCCCCCUGAGGGCAACAAAAUAACGAGUCGUUCAAUUUUUUUCUGGAAAAAUGGGUUCACGAACGAAGGGGUAAAAGGAGAAUUAUUCCUGGAUCAAUCGGACACGAGUGAGUCUCCCCGAGACGGGGAAAGUCCUGGGCAUUUCCCCGUGACCCUGAAUUAUGUCCAGAAUCGAGGGAGUCUGAGGUCCGAUGAUCCUCAAUGCUCGAGGCUGAGGGUCCAGUCUUAUCCAUGAUAUUAAGUAUUUUUUUGUUUUUAACUCACCCCGAAGAGCAGAGUCACC